CGAAAAAAACCGAACCGACCGAACCGAAUUUUUCGGUUUCGGUUUCACUUCAGUUCACAGGCGAGAACCGAUCGGCGGAAUUAUAAUUGGAGUUCGGUUAACAGUUCGGUUCGGUUCGGCAGAGGAAAACCGAUCGGUUUUCUCGGUUUCAGGAGACACCCUAUAAAAGCCAAAAAAAAACCCUAGAUCUAACGUGAAUCCCUUAUUUUCUCCUCUUCUCUAACCCCUUUAGUUGCUUAAAAAUUCUGAGAACUUUCAUCACUUAACCUCAUCGGAAUCCCGAUCUGUUCCGCCGGAAAUAUCACCAAACGGAGGGAUCCAUUCCCGUGAGCUCUUUGUCGAUCCAUUCUGGUGAGCUUUUUGUUUUCACUUUUUUUCUUUUCGUUAUUUCUUACAGAGAUUAGAGUGAUUAGAACCACAUUUGAUUUAGCUUCACUAACAAUAUUUUUUUCUGUUGCUUUUAUCACGAUGGCUAGGGUUUAGUACAUUUGGCUAAUAAACAAGGAUCGAAACAACAGCCUUGAGAUUCCAUGGAUGCCUUUCAAUAAAGGCUCAUCGGACGGAGAUAUCGAGCCACCGCCGCCGUCGCUGUCGCCGUCGCCAUCGCCAUCAAACCCUAAUUGUUAAUGGUUUGGCGGUUUGGGCUUUGUAAAUAUGUUAAACGGGCUUUGUAAAUAUGUUAAACGGGGCUUGUUAUUGGAUUUUGUUGAUUUAUUGUUAUUUUUAAGCCCAAAAUCUUUUGAUUUUGUGUAAUUCGGUUUGAAUAAACCGAAUUUAAAAAAGAAUCGGUUUAUUUCGGAAUUGAUUUUAAACCUCAUAACCGAACUGAAAAAAACACGAACCGAACCGAAUUUUUAUUCGGUUCAAUUCGGCAGAAUUUUUGAUAACCGAAUAACCCGAAAAACCGAAUUAACCGAAAAAACCGUAUGCCCAGGGCUACUCAAAUCAGUUAUACUAAUUCGGCAUCAGAGACAACUGGAACAUGCUAUGAUUAUGAAAAUUUCAAAUUUCUAACAACUUCCCUCAUUGAUGUUUUACGAAGACUUGAAAAACUGAAAUUGCCAAGGAAUUUUUUAAAUCUAAUUUUAAAAUCUGGUUAUCCUCAUUUAGUAAUCUCUUACUAAUAAAAGAUGCUAAUUGAGGCGUCUAAGGUCAUC
rnacentral:lncRNA from 1 species